CACUUAGACAGUGUAUGUGUAAAUGUGUAUAUAUAUAUAUAUGUAAAUGUGUGUGUAUGUAUAUAUAUGUGUGUGUGUAUAUAUAUAUAUAUAUAUAUAUGUAAAUACACAUUUACACAUACACUGUCUAAGUG